rnacentral:rRNA from 1 species
ACUAUAGCUUGGUAUUGGUGUUCGAUUCGGCUUGUGUAGGAUAGGUGGGAGACUGUGAAGCUGGCACGCCAGUGCUGGUGGAGUCAUCGUUGAAAUACCACUCUGGUCGUAUUGGAUGUCUAACCUCGGUCCGUGAUCCGGAUCAGGGACAGUGCCUGGUGGGUAGUUUAACUGGGGCGGUUGCCUCCCAAAGAGUAACGGAGGCGCUCAAAGGUUCCCUCAGCCUGGUUGGCAAUCAGGUGUUGAGUGCAAGUGCACAAGGGAGCUUGACUGUGAGACUGACGGGUCGAGCAGGGACGAAAGUCGGAACUAGUGAUCCGGCCAUGGCUUGUGGAAGCGUGGUCGCUCAACGGAUAAAAGGUACCCCGGGGAUAACAGGCUGAUCUUGCCCAAGAGUCCAUAUCGACGGCAUGGUUUGGCACCUCGAUGUCGGCUCGUCGCAUCCUGGGGCUGGAGUAGGUCCCAAGGGUUGGGCUGUUCGCCCAUUAAAGCGGUACGCGAGCUGGGUUUAGAACGUCGUGAGACAGUUCGGUCCCUAUCCGCCGCGCGCGUAGGAUACUUGAGGAAGGCUGUCCCUAGUACGAGAGGACCGGGACGGACGGACCGCUGGUGUGCCAGUUGUUCUGCCAAGAGCAUUGCUGGUUGGCUACGUUCGGAAGGGAUAACCGCUGAAGGCAUCUAAGCGGGAAGCUCGUUCCAAGAUGAGGUAUCCCACUCUUCGUGAGUUAAGGCCCCCAGCUAGACCACUGGGUUGAUAGGCCAGAGGUGGAAGACCGGUAACGGUUGGAGCUGACUGGUACUAAUAGGCCGAGGACUUGUUACA